UACAGAGGGUGCAAGCGUUAUCCGGAAUUACUGGGCGUAAAGCGCGCGCAGGUGGCUUGUUAAGUUGGAUGUGAAAGCCCCGGGCUCAACUUGGGAACUGCAUCCAAAACUGGCAAGCUAGAGUACGGUAGAGGGAGGUGGAAUUUCCGGUGUAGCGGUGAAAUGCGUAGAUAUAGGAAGGAACACCAGUGGCGAAGGCGACCACCUGGACUGAUACUGACACUGAGGCGCGAAGGCGUGGGGAGCAAACAGG
rnacentral:misc_RNA from 1 species